UACGGGGGGGGCAAGCGUUGUUCGGAAUUACUGGGCGUAAAGGGCUCGUAGGUGGCCAACUAAGUCAGACGUGAAAUCCCUCGGCUUAACCGGGGAACUGCGUCUGAUACUGGAUGGCUUGAGUUUGGGAGAGGGAUGCGGAAUUCCAGGUGUAGCGGUGAAAUGCGUAGAUAUCGGGAGGAACACCCGUAGCGAAGGCGGCACUCUGGGCCGUGACUGACGCUGAGGAGCGAAAGCGUGGGGAGCAAACAGG
rnacentral:rRNA from 1 species